rnacentral:lncRNA from 1 species
AAAAAAGGGGAAAAACAGAAAAAGAAUCUAAGUUAGUCCAUUGCCUUUGUACAUCACAAAAAUGGAUGAACUUUGCAACAUUUGUCAACUAUAUCUUCAUUAUUUACACUUUUCAAUAAAAAUAAAAGAUCUUUAGUGCUAGUGAUUGAUGCAAUCAGAAAAGCAGGUGAGUAACUUUAUCUUCUUUGUAACUUUGCAUUUUAUUUAAAUCAUAAAGAGUGGAUUAUUUUCACCAGAUUGUUUUUAUAUAGCAUUGACACUCUUAAUUAUUAUGGCAUUAUGUCAUGAUAUUUGCAUGUUGACUUUGUCGUUGAAGUUUGCCUCUACAAUCAGAAGUUGCUCUAGUUUGUAACUUCAUUAGAAUAAAGAAUUUUUGUCACUUUCCAGAACUUGUUUUCCUUGUAAAGUUAUUCUGUUAUGAUGUUAAAUCAUUUAUAUUUUAUCACAUAUUGAUCAGUUACAUCAUUUUGCAAUAUGUUCAUUCAUUCCCUUCCACAUUGUUAAUUAAAAUGCG